AAGAAAAUGCAUGAAGCUUGGCGUCCUCGCGCUCCUGCUGUUUGCUCGCGUGCGCGUGGAAGAGCGAUUUCAAAUACAAAGAAGUAACGGCUCCUUUCCUCAAAGAAAGAAACAACCGCUGCGCAAGAAAAUCCAGUAUGGCUUCUCUAAAAAUCUCAAAGGAUUCACAGAGCAGCACUAUCAGUUAAUAAAGAAAUGUGGCUCUGUAGUGGACACCUGUGAGGCAGUGGACAGACAGCUGCUGAAGUCUGAUGCUGGCUGACAAUAAACAGACCUCUCUGGAUGUACCCCAUCUUUUGUAGAGUAAUUCUAACAUUGCCCUUCCUGUAACAUGAUGAUCCUGCUGUCCUGGACUGUAUAUGAUGAGGUAUGUAUGAGUUUGUCCAUGUGUGUAUACAUAUGUAGUGUACACACACAACUUAUACACACACAUUGUGCACUUAAUUAGCCCACAACCAUUAAUCAAUGCACUAAUAUGACAAAAUAAUUCCUGUGGUGUUCCUCAUUUUUAAGAUAAUUAAAAAAAUACCUGUGAUAAACGAAUAAAUGUAAAUAUUUUGUUAUUUAACUUUAAGUAACCUGCAGGUUGCGCUUAUCCCUAUUGCUUAUACAUUUACA